CUGUCAGAAUGGCAGUGUCCGGAUUUUCCGGACUAGGUGAUCCACACCAGUGUUUCGGACAGCGGUUCGAUUCCGCUCAGCUCCAUUCCCCCUUCCCGGGGCUGCAAUGGUUUCGACGGGGCAUGAGGAGGGUGACUGAAGCCUGCUCGGUGAGAGCAAACCCGUAACUGCGAACAACAUCGUUCGUUUCUCCCGUCA
rnacentral:tmRNA from 1 species